GCCGCUUCCCUCCGCUCCCUUCGCCGCGCCUCGCGUGCUAGCGGUGCCCUUGUGAGCCACUGCGUUCUCCAAGGCCAGAACGGGACAGUUGACGAUGGUCGUACUUCUCCAUGUUCUGAGACCAGUUUAAACAAAAACAAAAACCAGACAACAACCUUGCAAGGGAAAGAAUUCAGAGUAAAUAAACAGUCUUUUUCUGGGAAGUAAAAUAUUUCCCUAAGAUGGAGAAAUUGAGAUGAGAGCUCAUCCACAAGAUUACCCAUCAAUGAGCACCAAUAGCAACCAAAUCCACUAGAAGACUGGGAGCUUUUAAGUCAAGAAACUUACAUCAGUAUCAUCAUUCCAAGAAGCGGUAUCCAAGCUGUUUUAUCGAAAGUGCGCAUGGGAGAUUUUGACUCCAAAAGUCCAGGAUGGGGCCUGAGGUUCUGCAUGUCUAACAAUUUCCCAGCUGAUGCCAAAGCUGCUGAUCAGAGUCUACACCUUAAGAAAUAAGACUCUGAGAAUUUAUAGAAACAAACAUUAGAAGGCAGGAAUGUGGAGAGAAGAAAGCUACCUGACAAGGGAAUCUCAGGAUACAAGGAAAACACCAAGGAAUGUAAAUCUCUGUUUACCACAAGCCCUCUGUCUCCACAAGUUCUGUGUCCAGAACUGAAGGCAGAUCCAAAUACAAUAUUCAUGGGAUGCAAAUUCCCAUGUAUGCCAAGAGAUAACUGCUUUAUUGGAGGCCUAGUGGGGAACUGAAACUCCCACUCCUGCUUAGCAGGAAUGAGAAGCCCCCUUUCAGAGGUCAACAGAAGCUGAGUUAAGAAACCUGAACUUUUACCCUACCUGGCAGUAAUGAAGCGACACCCACCUUCGUCUGUGAGGAUGGUGUGAGAUGAAGGUAGCUAAAACAAAAGGUUUAAAUAAGAUUCAGAGUCUCAUCAUAUUGAAAUGUCCAUAUUUCAGUGGAAAAUUACUCAUCAUACAAAAACAAGAAAGAACUAAAACUAAGUGAGAAAAGAUAAUAAAUAUAUGCCAACAUCAAGAUGACACAAAUGUUAGAAUUAUCUGGCAAAGCUUGUAAAGCAGCCAUCAUAAAAAUACUCCAAUGAACAAUUAAAACAUUCUUGUAGCUAAUGAAAAUUUAUUUGGAAAGCUUCAACAAAGAAAUAGGAAGUCAUAACCAAAAAUAGAAGAUAAAAGAGUCAAAUGGAAAAUUUUGAACUGAAGAAUACAAUAACCAAUAUAAAAAACUCAAUGCAUGGGCAGAAUGGAGGAGACAGAGGAAAUAUUGGUGAACUGGAGGAAACAAUAUAAAUUGACCAUCUAUACAACAGAGAGAAGAUAGAGUGAAAAAAAGAUGAAAGGAACCUCAAAGACCUUCGAGAUUAUAGCAAAAAAAA
rnacentral:lncRNA from 1 species